AGGUUGGCUCAGAAGCAGCCAUCCUUUAAAGAGUGCGUAACAGCUCACUAGUCGAGUGACCCUGCGCCGAAAAUGUACCGGGGCUAAGCCUGAUACCGAAACUGCGGAUUGUAGGAAACUAUAGUGGUAGGGGAGCGUUGUAUACGAGCAGAAGCCGUACCGUGAGGAGCGGUGGAUUGUAUAGAAGUGAGAAUGCCGGUGUGAGUAGCGAGAUGUAGGUGAGAAUCCUACACACCGAAAGCCCAAGGAUUCCAGGGGAAGGUUCGUCCGCCCUGGGUAAGUCGGGACCUAACGCGAGGCCGAAAGGCGUAGUGGAUGGAAAGCAGGCGAAAGAUUCCUGCACCCGUAUAUGGAGCGAAGGAGUGACGGAGACGGAUAGUGUGACCCUCUUAAUGGAUUGAGGGCGAAGCGAAGCGGCUGGUUACCAGGCAAAUCCGGUAACCAAAAGGCUAGAGCGUGACAGGUAAGCGAAAUCUUCGGAAAGUAGCGAAGCACAUGAUGACGGCUUCCAGGAAAAGCUUCUGGCAAUGCAUAUGCGGCCCGUACCAAAACCGACACAGGUGGGCAGGGAGAGAAUCCCGAGGUGAGCGAGAGAACUGUUGCCAAGGAACUCGGCAAAAUGACUCCGUAAGUUAGCGAGAAGGAGUGCUUAAGCAAUUAAGCCGCAGUGAAGAGGCCCAAGCGACUGUUUAACUAAAACACAGCUCUCUGCGAAGUCGCAAGACGAAGUAUAGGGGGUGACACCUGCCCGGUGCUGGAAGGUUAAGAGGAUCUGUUAAGAGCGAUCUGAAGCAGUGAUCCGAAGCCCCAGUGAACGGCGGCCGUAACUAUAACGGUCCUAAGGUAGCGAAAUUCCUUGUCAGGUAAGUUCUGACCCGCACGAAAGGUGUAACGAUUUGGGCGCUGUCUCGGCAGCAGACUCGGUGAAAUCUUAGUACCUGUGAAAAUGCAGGUUACCCGCAACUAGACGGAAAGACCCCAUGGAGCUUUACUGCAGCCUGAUAUUGAAUUCUGGUCAUACAUGUACAGGAUAGGUGGGAGACAAAGAGACGUGCACGCCAGUGUACGAGGAGUCGACGUUGGGAUACCACUCUUGUGUGACCGGGGUUCUAACCUGGUAUCGAGAACAGGUACGGGGAGAGUGUCAGGUGGGCAGUUUGACUGGGGCGGUCGCCUCCCAAAGAGUAACGGAGGCGCCCAAAGGUACGCUCAGAUUGGAUGGAAACCAAUCGUCGAGUGCAAUUGCAGAAGCGUGCUUGACUGUGAGACAGACAAGUCGAACAGGGACGAAAGUCGGGAAUAGUGAUCCGGCGGUGCCGAAUGGAAGGGCCGUCGCUCAACGGAUAAAAGCUACCCUGGGGAUAACAGGCUGAUCUCCCCCA
rnacentral:rRNA from 1 species